GGAAGCUGUAUGUUGGUCUUUCCCAUGGUGGACACUGGAACUAAAGCUGCAGCCAAAAACAUGGGGUGAUUUCAGACUUUUCCGAGGAAUGGAUAUUAAAUUUUAUGAGAUGAUUUUAGAGCAUCUGCAGGAUGAUUAUGUUGUUUUUUUCUUUGACCUAUUACUAAUGGACAAUAUUAAUAAAUGUGCCACUAAUAAGUGAAUAUUAUAUUCCAAGAAUCAAAUCUGCACAAUAUAGUCUAAACAUUAUCUUGUAAUAUACUACUGUAUGACUUUCAUUGGUUUAGUAAAGACUUUUAUAUCUAUCUCUAAAAUGUCAUUCUGGGAAUUAUAACUUGGACAUCAAGUUCCUUACACUCUGGUUGCCCUUUAUUGGUUAUCCUUCUUUUUUCUUUUUAAUGGGCCAAUCAAGCAUACUAUGUAACUAAGAUGAAAGCUCUUUAAGAGCACAGGUCUUUGUUUUAUUUGCUGAUUUAUUUACUAAGAUCCUAGAAGUAUGCCUGAUACAUUAUUGGUAUUCCAUAAAUACUUUUUGAUUGGUUAA